CAGAAGAGAGGCUCAACCUGGAUUCUCCUUGCCUCCCACAGCAUCCUUGUUGUCACAGUCAUUUGCAUCUGAGAAACGCAGAGAACCGAUUGUUCUUGGAUGAAGAAGAAGAAGCCGGAAAUAACACGUUUCUAAAGACAGGCAAGAGAAGUGGAUGCACAGCAUGUAAUUUCAAACCCAAGCCCAGGCUUUCCCACGUGCACGGAAAAUGAUUUUGAGCAAAUUAUUUCUUGUACUCCUACCUGUGCAGUGAGGGAAAUUGCUCACUGCAGACGGAGCAGUUAUAAAGACACAACAAGGCUGCCGUGCUUAGCUGAACAAUGAAAACUAUUGGUACAGAUCCAAGAGCACGGAUCCUAACAUUUUAAAGGAACAAGAAGAGGGGGUAAAAAUC
rnacentral:lncRNA from 1 species